rfam:TPA: Bos taurus chromosome 10, whole genome shotgun sequence.
UCCCCAGUAGCUUAGUUGGUAAAGAAUCUGCCUGCAGUGCAGGAGAUCUGGGUUCAAUCCCUGGAUCAGGAA